UACGUAGGGCGCAAGCGUUUGUCCGGAAUUAUUGGGCGUAAAGAGCUCGUAGGCGGUUUGUCGCGUCUGCUGUGAAAACCUAAGGCUCAACCUUGGGCUUGCAGUGGGUACGGGCAGACUAGAGUGCGGUAGGGGUGACUGGAAUUCCUGGUGUAGCGGUGGAAUGCGCAGAUAUCAGGAGGAACACCGAUGGCGAAGGCAGGUCACUGGGCCGCAACUGACGCUGAGGAGCGAAAGCAUGGGGAGCGAACAGGAUUAGAA
rnacentral:rRNA from 1 species